AUUAUACCAGUGAUACCUUGUCACAACCAAAAUAAAACACCAUAGAAUGCAUAUGGAAUGUAAUGCCUUCAAUUCAUUUUUUGAGGAACCUAAUUGUUUAUCUGUUUAUAUGAACUUUGCUAAUUCCUUGAUUGUGAACAGGUAUUGCCAGAGGAUGCGGUUGGCAGAAACUUGGUGCAAUUGUCAAUCUAGGAUCUUUUUAUUUUAUAGGCGUUCCUUUUUCUGUUGUGACAGGUUUUGUCCUCCACAUGAAAGGACGGGGGCUAUUUUUAGGGAUAGUACUGGCAAUUAUCAUUCAAAUGUUGUGUUUUCUUGUGAUCACCCUACGUGCCAAUUGGGAGGAAGAAGCAAAUAAGGCAACAAAAAGGGUAGGAGGCAGUGGAGUCCAACUUCAAGAACUUUCGGUUGACCAAAAUGUUAAUUCUGCUCGAUAGAUAGUUGAAGAACCAUUUCUAGAUUUGUGUAGAACUAGAGUGACUUACCUUGAAAUAAAUGCAUACCAAUGUACUUAUAGCACAUCCAUGAGUAAUUAUUCCUUAGCGUA